rnacentral:rRNA from 1 species
AUUGAACGCUGGCGGCAGGCCUAACACAUGCAAGUCGAGCGGAUGAAGGGAGCUUGCUCCUGGAUUCAGCGGCGGACGGGUGAGUAAUGCCUAGGAAUCUGCCUGGUAGUGGGGGAUAACGUCCGGAAACGGGCGCUAAUACCGCAUACGUCCUGAGGGAGCAAGUGGGGGAUCUUCGGACCUCACGCUCUCAGAUGAGCCUAGGUCGGAUUAGCUAGUUGGUGGGGUAAAGGCCUACCAAGGCGACGAUCCGUAACUGGUCUGAGAGGAUGAUCAGUCACACUGGAACUGAGACACGGUCCAGACGCCUAAGGGAGGCAGCAGUGGGGAAUAGUGGACAGUGGGCGAAAGCCUGAUCCAGCCAUGCCGCGUGUGUGAAGAAGGUCUUCGGAUUGUAAAGCACUUUAAGUUGGGAGGAAGGGCAGUAAGUUAAUACCUUGCUGGUUUGACGUUACCAACAGAAUAAGCACCGGCUAACUUCGUG